AUUGAACGCUGGCGGCAGGCCUAACACAUGCAAGUCGAGCGGAUGAAGGGAGCUUGCUCCUGGAUUCAGCGGCGGACGGGUGAGUAAUGCCUAGGAAUCUGCCUGGUAGUGGGGGAUAACGUCCGGAAACGGGCGCUAAUACCGCAUACGUCCUGCGGGAGCAAGUGGGGGAUCUUCGGACCUUACGCUAUCAGAUGAGCCUAGGUCGGAUUAGCUAGUUGGUGGGGUAAAGGCCUACCAAGGCGACGAUCCGUAACUGGUCUGAGAGGAUGAUCAGUCACACUGGAACUGAGACACGGUCCAGACUCCUACGGGAGGCAGCAGUGGGGAAUAUUGGACAAUGGGCGAAAGCCUGAUCCAGCCAUGCCGCGUGUGUGAAGAAGGUCUUCGGAUUGUAAAGCACUUUAAGUUGGGAGGAAGGGCAGUAAGUUAAUACCUUGCUGUUUUGACGUUACCAACAGAAUAAGCACCGGCUAACUUCGUG
rnacentral:rRNA from 1 species